rnacentral:lncRNA from 1 species
CCAUUCAAUAUCAAUGGAUGUAUUCAUUCUAGAGGUAAAUCAUUUACAUCAUUAAAUUUAAGCAUGCAUACUUUCCUCAGCCAGAUGUCAAUAUCAAUGAUUUGUUGAGUUUGAAACAAUAGGUCAAUGAAUCGGUAGUGGAAUUCUUAGAGAGAUUCAGAGCCACGACUGGUCAAUGUUCGAUACAAUUUCUUGAAGCCAAAUAUAUGGUUACUGUCAUAAGUAAUAUGCAUUCUCAAUUGAGAGAAAUGUCGGUGGCUCAAGCAUGUAGUGAUAUGAAUCAACUAGCUUCAAGGGCUACCAGAAUAUAACACUUCGUUAGAUAUAAGGAACAAAAAUGAGAAAGGGAUGAGGUCAUGGCAACCAUAAUCAUUAGGGUCAAACCUUACUUUUGUCCAACGUUGAAGACUUCCAAGACCAUAAACUCCAAUACUACCAGUGGUAAAUUUGAGUAAGCAUUUGAUAUUUCGAAAGAUUAUCAAAUUUUUUAUUAUCUUCUCAAAGAUCAACAAAUACAAUUGAUGCAUGGGCACAAAAUUCCUUCAGCUGAUGAGAUAAAAGAUAGAUAUAUUGCAAAUGGAAUAACUAAUAUAAUCACAACAUUGCCAUCUGUUUUGGAAUUUCGAUAGGCUAUUUAUAGAUCUAUCAAAGAAGAUUUAAGCUAGCCAACAAGAGCACUGAGGAGAUUAAAGUCAAUACUAAUUUUUCCCUAACAUUGAUAUCAACAUGGUUUCAUGCAACCCCAAUUGGCAAAAAGAGCAAUCUGUUUG